CUUUGCCUCCGCAACCUGCAGGCUGUCCUCUCGUGUGUACCUGUGGUGGACUGAAGGUAUUAGGUGAAGAAGAACACUGCAACCAGCUGAAGCCGUAUCAGCAGAGAUGCUUCUAUGCUAGGAAGUAAUUCAGAGUGCUUCCAUGGCGUACUUUAGACAGAUUUCCUCUGGUCCUCUGGACUCAGCAUCGCCAAGGGAUAUUUCCAAGCUCUCUGAAGGACCCGUCAUUAUCUCUGACACUGCAGUCUCCAUUAGGAAGGGACACCACCCAGCUAGCCAAGCUAACCCAUUGAAAAUGGAAGGAGUGGGACAUCUUCAAAAGCCUGCUGCUGCUUCUAAGCAGAACUGCGCUGUAGGUGGGGACACAGCAAGAGGACACGUCCAGGCCACGCUGGAACUGCAAGGCACCUGUCUGAGCCACACAACGAAGUCAGCGAUUCCCAGUUGGAGACUGUUCCUCGACCAGUGACACAGCAGCUGGAGCGCUUCUGGUUGCUGCUGAUGGGUUCCCGUGAAUCAGCCAGGGAUAGGAGCUAUGAGAACGACUGAAGCGAUCUGAAGUUACCUGAAAGAAAGAAAAGAGGAGGGA